CAGCAGCCACGGGAAUACGAGGGGGGCAAGCGUUGUUCGGAAUUAUUGGGCGUAAAGGGUGCGUAGGCGGUUUCGUAAGUCUUAUGUGAAAUCUAUGGGCUCAACCCAUAGUCUGCAUGGGAAACUGCGAGGCUUGAGGAUGGGAGAGGUGAGUGGAAUUUCCGGUGUAGCGGCGAAAUGCGUAGAUAUCGGAAGGAACACCUGUGGCGAAAGCGGCUCACUGGACCAUUUCUGACGCUGAUGCACGAAAGCUAGGGGAGCAAACAGGAUUAGAUACCCCCGUAGUCCCUGUCUCUUAUAA
rnacentral:rRNA from 1 species